rnacentral:rRNA from 1 species
UACGUAGGAGGCGAGCGUUGUCCGGAAUUACUGGGCGUAAAGAGCGCGUAGGCGGCACGGUACGACCGGUGUGAAAGCCCCGGCCUCAACUGGGGAGGGUCACCGGUAACGGCCGAGCUAUGAGUGCAGGAGAGGGAAGUGGAACUCCGGGAGUAGCGGUGAAAUGCGUAGAGACCCGGAGGAACACCAGUGGCGAAGGCGGCUUCCUGGUCGUGCAACUGGACGCUGUGGCGCGAAAGCUAGGGGAGCAAACGGG